GGCAAGAUGGCCGAGUGGUCUAAGGCGCUAGUUUUAGGAACUUCCGAAACACUAGUUCGAAAGAGCGUGGGUUCGAAUCCCACUCUUGUCA
rfam:Aspergillus aculeatus ATCC 16872 unplaced genomic scaffold ASPACscaffold_9, whole genome shotgun sequence.